rnacentral:rRNA from 1 species
UACGGGGGGGGGCAAGCGUUUGUUCGGAAUUACUGGGCGUAAAGGGCUCGUAGGUGGCCAACUAAGUCAUACGUGAAAUCCCUCGGCUUAACCGGGGAACUGCGUCUGAUACUGGAUGGCUUGAGGUUGGGAGAGGGAUGCGGAAUUCCAGGUGUAGCGGUGAAAUGCGUAGAUAUCUGGAGGAACACCGGUGGCGAAGGCGGCAUCCUGGACCAAUUCUGACACUGAGGAGCGAAAGCCAGGGGAGCAAACGGGG